AGUCAAUAGAUACCCGGGUAGUCCUAGCCCUAAACGAUGCUCAUUAGAUGUGGGAGGUAUCGACCCCUUCCGCGUCGCAGCUAACGCAUUAAAUGAGCCGCCUGGGGAGUACGGCCGCAAGGUUGAAACUCAAAGGAAUUGACGGGGGCCCGCACAAGCGGUGGAACAUGUGGUUUAAUUCGACGCAACGCGAAGAACCUUACCUGGGCUUGAACUACUGGUAGUAAGUCCCUAGAAAUAGGGGCUGAUCCGCAAGGAAGCCAGCAGAGGUGCUGCAUGGUUGUCGUCAGCUCGUGUCGUGAGAUGUUGGGUUAAAGUCCCGCAACGAGCGCAACCCCUAUCCAAUGUUGCUAAUCCCGUAAGGGAUGCACUCUUUGGAAACUGCCUUCGAUAAGAAGGAGGAAGGUGGGGACGACGUCAAAUCCUCAUGGCCCUUAUGUCCAGGGCUACACACGUGUUACAAUGGCCGGUACAGUGGGAAGCAAUACCGCAAGGUGGAGCCAAACCCUAAAGCCGGCCCAGUUCAGAUUGUGGGCUGCAACUCGCCCAC
rnacentral:rRNA from 1 species